rnacentral:lncRNA from 1 species
GCGUCGGGCCGCCGCCGACCCGGGAGGUCGCGGGGGGCCGGGAGCCUGGCUCGCUCCCGGUGAAGGCGCUUCUGGCUGUUCACGUCCUUCCAUGGGUGAGGGGAUUGUGGGUUUCGCGCUGCCCCUGCGACCGAGACGGGCCUUGAUGUUUAAUUUGCUUCAGGAGUUGGCAACUUCAGGGACACCAUGGUGGCUCGUCAUGUAGCAGAGCUAGUGACAUUUCUCGGUGGCAGGUCCUGGCGCAAAACUUGGAAUGUGUGCAGUGAUCUGUAUGCCACCUUACCAUUGAGUCGGAAUGUGAAACUUGGGGUCCCUAUUCCCACGUUUUGGAAUUAAGGGCCAGGUAGGGAUAUGUGGUGGAACUCAGGUUCCCAGGAAUGACAUGCAUAAUGUAGGAUUCAGUUCUACAAAUGUUUGUUGAACGUCUCCCCCUGCUAGGGCGAUGUGCUGCUGUGUAUGAAGACGGAGAACAUAGUAAUCACGACGAUAACGUGAAUGAGACGCAAAACGUUUCCCAAGGCACCACACUUGGACACUAUGUUCGGGGCACGGUGACUAUUCCAUUGUCCCUGGAGCAGACUCUUGAGUAAUAGAGGAGAAAGAAGAGAAGACCGAAGUGCUCUGAAGGCCUGGGAGACAGACAGUUACCUGAGCAUCAGGAAGCCGUGAAGGUGUCGCUGUGCCAUCCUGAAAUUUUCCAACAGGUAAAUUCAGUCAUCGGAAGAGGCAUCUGUCUAUAUACAGCAGUUUAAUGACACUUGAGAUUAUAUUUAAUAUACAUGGUUGUGUUUAAAGUAUCUCUUUUAAGAAGGCAGAGGAAUAGGUGGCUCCCAUUAGAUAAGAUUUCCAUCAAAAACAGUUUUAAGGGUUUAAUGUUAUUCUUUAGAACUAUUUAGAAAGUAUUCACCAAGUGGUCUGGAUAGCCUCUUCUUUGAUGCUGCUUAUGGUUGUACUUGUCAUGAUAGACAUUAUUCUGGCCACACCAGUGACAUGCUGGAUGGGCGAAGCAACAGGGUUGAUAUGCUUUUAAAGGAAGAUGAGUUCUCACUGGUAGACUUGUUACUUUAUCUGAUUUUCCUUUCAGUGUUUAUAAUUAUGAAGGUGUUUGCUAUUAAAGUUUAAUUUUGGUUUUUAAAGGAAAUAUUGUCAUCCUUUGGUCAAUAGUCAUUUUUGUCUAUUGGCAUUGCUUUUUUUUUUUUUUUAAAGGUUGGCACCUAACAUCUGUUGCCAAUCUUCUUUCUUUUUUUCUUCUUCUUGCCAAAGACCCCCCACCCCACCCCAGUACAUAGUUGUGUAUUCUUGUUGUGAGUGCCUCUGGUUGUGCUAUGUGGGAUGCCCCCUCAGCAUGGCUUGAUGAGCGGUGCCUAGGAUCUGAACCGGUGAAACCCUGGGCCAUCGAAGCGGAGUGUUUGAACUUAAUGACUUGGCCAGGGGGCCGGCCCCCCUGAAUUUGCUUUUAAAGUAACAGAUACAUAUAUACUUAGAGAAUAACAUUAUUACCAAAUAUCACAGUCUGUCAGAAUAUGUAAGCAUGUACUAAACAUAGAAUUAUAUUAGGAUUUUAGUGGUUUUAUACGUUUGCAGAAUUACUGCAUUUUAGAAUUAGAUCUUUUUGAUUAUUGACCAGCUUUGUCCUUAUCCAGGUGAUGAGAAAAUGGAGACUAAGAGUGGUUCCAUAAGCUGCCCAGAGUCACACACCUCAUCACUAGCAGAUUUCAGAAUGCAGUCUGAUGUAUGCACCUCUUCUUGCCGUUGAUGGUUUCAUUUCCUUAUGAGAGCUGGGGAGUUUGAAUUUGUGUGUCUUCAUGGAGGAUUUCACAGUUGAAUCGGCUUUUGGAGGGUGACCCAUAUUUUAUUGGGAAGAGCUAUAGGCAGCAGGGACAGUGCCUCAAACAGGCUGAACAGCAGGAGCUAUACCAUCCAUCUAGAGAUUCUUUUCUCCUCUUUCCUAAGUGCAGUUACCUGUUUUCUUUUUCUUAGUUUACCUCCUAGAAAGGUGAAGAGUUUGUGUUUUUCUUUUUGGGACUUUGCAUGUCAGAAAAUGUCUAUAUUCUAAAUAAUUUGAUUUAUAGUCUGUGUAUAGAAUUCUAGGUUAAUGUUAAUGUCAGGAUAAAGCAGAUUAUGCUGCAGUGACAGAUUAACUGAAAUCUCAGUGCAUAAAUAAAGGGUUAUUUCUUGCUUUCGCCA